rnacentral:rRNA from 1 species
UACGAAGGGGGCUAGCGUUGUUCGGAAUCACUGGGCGUAAAGCGCACGUAGGCGGCUUGUUAAGUCAGAGGUGAAAGCCUGGAGCUCAACUCCAGAACUGCCUUUGAUACUGGCAAGCUCGAGGAUGGCAGAGGUUGGUGGAACUCCGAGUGUAGAGGUGAAAUUCGUAGAUAUUCGGAAGAACACCAGUGGCGAAGGCGGCCAACUGGGCCAUUACUGACGCUGAGGUGCAAAAGCGUGGGGAGCAAACAGU